rnacentral:rRNA from 1 species
UUCCUACGGGGCGCAGCAGUGAGGAAUAUUGGUCAAUGGGCGCGAGCCUGAACCAGCCAAGUCGCGUGAAGGAUGACUGCCCUACGGGUUGUAAACUUCUUUUAUAAAGGAAUAAAGUGAGGCACGUGUGCCUUUUUGUAUGUACUUUAUGAAUAAGGAUCGGCUAACUCCGUGCCAGCAGCCGCUGUAAUACGGAGGAUCCGAGCGUUCUCCGGAUUUAUUGGGUUUAAAGGGAGCGUAGGUGGGUUGUUAAGUCCGUUGUGAAAGUUUGCGGCUCAACCGUAUAAUUGCACUUGAUCCUGUCC